rnacentral:lncRNA from 10 species
AUGGUGUCCCGUUCUGUUGCCCAGGCUGGAGUGCAAUGGCGUGAUCUUGGCUCACUGCAACCUCUGCCUCCCGGGUUCAAGCGAUUCUCCUGCCUCAGCUUCCCAAGGAGCUGGGAUUACAGAGACGGGGUUUCACCAUAUUGGGCAGGCUGGUCUCGAACUCCUGACCUCAAGCGAUCCACCCGCCUUGACCUCUCGAAGUUCUGGGAUUACAACUGUGAACCACUGCACCCGGCCCAUAAGUUAUUUAAAUGAUGGAAAAAUUCUAUAAAGAGAAAAUUCCACCUCCUCUACUGUUAGUGGUGAAGCUCACAUAAGAAAGAGCCAGCUGAGAGUCUGUCAAGGGGAGACCCAAAACCAGAGAAACUCCUUUUCUUCUUUGUCUCAAUCACAUCAUUUUCUAGGGACACCAAUUCAUCAAGAAGCAAGAGUUUUGCUGUCAGUUCCUCCUGCAUUCAUUCUUCCUGCUGCCUUGUGAAGAAGGUGCCUUGCUUCCCCUUUGCCUUCCACCAUGAUUGUAAGUUUAACGAGGACUCCCCAGCCAUGCAGAACUGUUCACAACCUUGAAUGGCAUGUUGGCAAUAAAAAGAAGACAAUAAAAAACUACCGAUUUUCUUGAU